GACAAGACCACGGAGCAGCCUUGCCAAGGUGGCAGUGCCAAGGGAGGCUGGUGGGGCCAGGGGACAAGUAGGCAGACAGUGAGCUGAGCUCGCCAGCAUGUGUCUGUGAAAACAGGGUCCUGUUAUGUACCCCUUGUUCUAUUAGCUCCAACUCUUGAGCUCCCAAGUGCCUCAUUUAGCCCCACACGAAGCUCACUGGAGGGGAGGAGCCAUGGCGGGCUCUCAGGAGAGGAGUGUGGGCUGAAGAUGUGCGUUGAUGAGAACCAGAGAGCCCCGUCAGGCCUCUAAGAAUUGACGAUCGGGGUAAGAAAUCUGGGCAAGACACGAGCCAAGCGUUCCUAUGUGUAAACAUGAAGUCGAUUCCCACUAAGUCUCCACCAGGAUUACUAUGAGGGAACCACAGAAUAAACUG